GAAGAAACUCUCAAUCGUAACACACAUAUCGUUCAAAAUGCCGGCUGGAAUGGCUUGGGGAAGUUAUUUGAAAGUCUUAAGUGCUUGCAUGUUAUCGAUGCUUGCAGGAGCCUCUGUUGUUCAUAAUUUUUAUAAACCAAACUUGACCAUCCCCGAGAUCCCGCCUUCGCCUUCAGAUGCAACCACUGACGAAAAUCUUGAAGGACUUCGAAAGAUAAUCUCGCUGAAGAAAAUAGAUUGAUUGAAAUUCAAGAAUUCAAGACUAUGUCACAAUAUAGAAACAAACAGUAGUCCCACUCAAUAGAAAUAGUUUGUGAUGCGCGUAUCGUAUUACGCAUGUGAUUAGUAUAGUGGCAGCAAGUCAAUUGCUUUUUUUGGCUAGUAGGAGCGCUUAGGUGGCUAGCCGCAGCCAGUAAUCUAAUUAAAUAUACAGCACCAAGUUGCAAAGUGAGACUACUGUAUGUUUCUAUACUGUGCCUAUGCUAUUUAAUUUGAAUAGCGUUUCUUUGUACGGAAAUGGCACAACCACUUUUCCUUAAAGAAGACAAUAAAAUAACAAGUUUAAUACAA